UUAGCUGAAAGGAUUUAGUAUGUGUGCGAAUGUUUUUGAUUUGAAGAUCGAAAGAAAAUAUAUUUCUGAAUUACAUCUCCGUCCAGUUGAUGGCGGUAAGGCAUAACGUUUGUAAACUGCCAGAAAACACCAUAGAAAAAGAAGAAGAAGAAGGAGAAGAAGAAGAAGAAGCACCCUUCCCUGAAGAGACGUCACUGCGAGUCACAUGACAGGUCACCGUCUCUGCUUGUACUGAAAAACGUCCUGCAAUCAUGUCCUCCCUCCAUAGCUCCUCCCGCACAAAGAAGACUAGCGCAUGUGCAGGGUAGUAAACAAGGCUCCAUGACGGCGGAUAAAUAGCUAUGGCAACGGUAGGUAUCAAUGUAUGCUUUCCACUUUAAAAAUAGUCAGUUCAUAUUUUAACGUUGCACUUUUUUUGUCAAUUAUAAAUGGCUAGUAAGCUAACAUAAAACCAGGUACGUGUGUAAUUACUUAAUGUUAGGUUGCUAUCUAGGUAAUAAGUCAGUGAGUUAGCAAUUUACAAUUUUCGCUUUGCACGAUAUGACAUGUCAUCUGUAUGCUAUGCGGCUAGAGUUUUGACAUGGAGUCCAUGGGCUCCGAUAAAGGAUUUACAUUAACAGUGACGGGUGGAAAGAAGAAGACGCCGUGUCCAUGGAGCAUCAGGCGGGCAGGUCAGAAGUCGCGGAGUCGGUCCAACUCGUUACCAUCUCUGUAGAGGAUAUGGCGUGUUGAGAAUUUAUGAUCUGAAAUUGCUGCUUUUAAACAUGUAAUACAGCUCUGUUUCAUUGUUUUCCCUUUGCACAUCAUAAAUUAUAUUUACAUUUUAUUUUAUUUACAUAAUGUUAGCUGCUUAUAAUGAGCUUCAGCAAUUAUUUUUAUCUGUCACUAGGAGCACCUUCAACAAUAGAAUUUACAGGCUGUAAAUUCAAUAUAUUCGAUAUAUCCCCCAGCCCUAUUUACAGCUGACACAGCAAGUGUUGGAGCAAUGUGUGGAUCGGGAUCCGGGCCUUGAUGUACUCAGCCAUUGUGCUGCUUCUCCAACAUCACCUCCUGUCUCCGGCCAACAAUCCUGGAGCAUCUACCAGAGGUGCAGAGAGAUGUUGCCUUCUGUGGUGGAGAGGAAGUGCUGCAAGCAACUGCCACCGUUUUGCAUUUCAGCCCUACCACACAUGGAGCCUUACACUCUUAAGGCAUGAGUCCUGCAUCUGGCCAGGAACAUCUGGAAUGACCUGUGUGCUGCUGUUGAAUUUCCAGAUGAAGGUGAAGAACAUGCUGCAUAGAUACAGUUUAUGUCUUGGCAUUAUGGGACUCUGGGUCCUGAUCACAGAGCAGUCAUCCCAAACUGGUGUGUUUGGACAAUCCAGGACAGAUUUCUAGAUUCCUUUGGAGAGUACUGGAUAUUUAUUUCAAGCAAAAUAUAGCUGCAGUGCUUUUAAAAUUUUUAAUGGUUUCUGUUUGCAUAUACAUAUUUUGCUUAUUCAAAAAUUUCUAAUACAUUUGUUGUGAAUACUUCUCAAUAAAGGGUUUAAAAA